CUCCUCAUAUCCACUAAUAACAGAAGAAACAGAAACAUUUCAUUUCAUUACAGGAUCUUCACAACUUUCUCUCUUCUUUUCCUUCAUUAUCUAUAAUAAGAUCGAGAGCUAGCAGCUAGUGCUGCAGCUUAGUUUUGGUCUAUUUUCUUGUAUUGAGAAGAUUAUCUUGGAAGCAAAUUUUUUGUUUUCGUUUUCAAGAAUUCUUCCCAAAACCAAUACAAUAUGGUCACUUUGAUGUCUCAAGAAAACAUUGUUGCUUUGGUGUCUCGCACUGGAAGGCAUUUGCAACGAUACAACAAGGGUCGUCGCCAAGUCGUAGGAUGCAUACCAUACAGAUACAGGAUUACAAACCAGACUUCCAUUGAAGAUGCAGGAGAUUUAGAAGUUCUUGUCAUCAGUUCUCAAAAAGGCAAAGGGAUGUUGUUCCCAAAGGGAGGUUGGGAAACAGAUGAAUCCAAAAUAGAGGCGGCUUCACGGGAGACCCUAGAGGAAGCAGGGGUUCGAGGCAUUAUCGAGUCUGAACUGGGUCAAUGGAGUUUCAAGAGCAAAAGCCAUGAUACAUAUUAUGAAGGAUUCAUGUUCCCUUUGCUUGUUCAAGAGCAGUUAGAUUUCUGGCCUGAGAAGAAUGCCCGAAAAAGAAUAUGGAUGAGCGUGCAAGAAGCUAGAGAAGUUUGUCAGCAUUUGUGGAUGAAGGAAGCCUUAGAUAGAUUUGUAAGUCGGCUGACUUCUCAACAAUCUGCUGAGGAACAAGCGAGGCCUACAUGUGCAAUAAGCUAGGACGACAAAUCUGAUUUGUAAAUAGGAAAUUGUUGAAGUACACAUCAAUCUUGCUGUAAUACCAGAUGAACUAAGGAAAAAUAGGAUCCAAAAAGCAAGAAAGAGUGACUUAGAAAAAGGGAUAGCAGAAAGUUGGCUAUUCUGUUUCUUGUUUAGCUUUCUUGGAAUUCUCCUCCAAGAAAAAAAGGAAAAAAAAAAAAUAAAAAAAAAGAGAAAAAGAAUCCGGAGGUAAGCUGUGCUAAAGCUACGAAUGUAGCUAGCUGAGGAUUAGAAACUUGUUCACGAAAUUUGUACAUGGUUUCUAAUAAUAAGAAAGUUCUUGUUUCAGAAUUCA